GCAUAUCAAUAAGCGGAGGAAAAGAAACUAACAAGGAUUCCCCUAGUAACUGCGAGUGAAGCGGGAAAAGCUCAAAUUUAAAAUCUGGCAGUCUUUGGCUGUCCGAGUUGUAAUCUAGAGAAGUAAUGCCCGUGCUGGACCGUGUAUAAGUCUCCUGGGAUGGGGCGUCAUAGAGGGUGAGAAUCCCGUCUUUGACACGGACUACCAGUGCAUUGUGGUAUGCUCUCAAAGAGUCGAGUUGUUUGGGAAUGCAGCUCAAAAUGGGUGGUAAAUUCCAUCUAAAGCUAAAUAUUGGCGAGAGACCGAUAGCGAACAAGUACCGUGAGGGAAAGAUGAAAAGAACUUUGGAAAGAGAGUUAAACAGUACGUGAAAUUGCUGAAAGGGAAACGCUUGAAGUCAGUCGCGUUGGCCGGGGAUCAGCCUUGCUUUUGCAUGGUGUACUUUCUGGUUGACGGGUCAGCAUCAAUUUUGAUCACUGGAAAAAGGCCUGGGGAAUGUGGCAGCUUCGGCUGUGUUAUAGCCCCUAGUCACAUACAGUGGUUGGGAUUGAGGAACUCAGCACGCCGCAAGGCCGGGUUUCGACCACGUUCGUGCUUAGGAUGCUGGCAUAAUGGCUUUAAGCGACCCGUCUUGAAACACGGACC
rnacentral:rRNA from 1 species